rnacentral:lncRNA from 1 species
AUGUGCCGUCUUCGAAGUUGGACCGGGUUUCGAAGACUAUCACGGCUGUCUCUUGCUUCCGCGGGCCUUGGCGCCGGGGCCUCCGCCUGGGUCUGGCUCUGGGUUAAUGGUGGCGCCGCCGGGAGGCUGGGAAGGGAGAGGGGAGUGCACUCUGGCUGCCCUGCCCAGAAACAGGGAGGCUUUCAGUGGCCGCUCGGACUCCUCGUUAGGGCGUUUGAAAGCCCCAAAUGGCCGGUGGCAGGGGCCAUUGCGUGGGUCAGUUUUUCCUUCCUGCGCCCCAUCAGGCGCGCCUGGUUCUCCAACUACCGGCUCCUCCACGCUGCGAGCGCCUUUCUACAACCUGCUGGCUCCGUAGAUACAGCCAUUCAGCCGGUUACAAAAAAGGAACAAUGCCAACAUUGAAGCCCUCGGUUGGAGUCUGCACAGUUGGAGAUCUUUGGUGCCAUUUUAGACAUCUUUGGAUUUCAUCAAUCAAACUGACUGCAAUUUUCCAUAAAAACCCUGAAUUUGGGUCAGAAAGUGGGCAAAGUAGAUAAAGAUCAUUCGAGCUGUCUUAUAAGAUGAUAAAUAGAUAUCCUUUCAGGCCAACAAUGCCAAAGUGCAGUUUUGUGAUUCCCUUCCAUGGGUUCUGAAUGCAGUGAGUCGAAACGAUUUCUACAUGUUUUCCCAUGGUUUAGGAGGUGUCUUUACAUACUUGUCAAUAGCAGCCUGACCUUUUUCCCCACGGAGUUGCUAAGUGUGUUUUGUUUAUUGCUUUGAGUCUUUUUUUUCUUGUGUGUGUGUGUUGCACAAAAUACACAAGAAAAUAAAGGUGUAUUUUUUCUUUUACUGCUCAAAUCAAUAGAAUAUGGGUCCAAUUGAGAUAAUUCUCUGCAAAUAGACUGGUUUCCGUAGCUCUUGAGUUGGUGUAGAAAUUCCAUUUGCUCUGCAGUUGCUCUCAAGGCACUUUGGACACCAUUUGGGUACCAUGCUGGGACGUAAACUCACUUUCUUAGCAGCAGCAACAACAACAACAGCCCACUGGCACGGUGUCCUUCCUAUUCUUGAACUUGAUGAAUGGCCUUUUGUAUAAGGUGUAUAAAAGGAAAUUAAAAAAAGCAAAAAGAAAUCACAAAAUGACAUUUAACCCACUACCUCCAGAGACCUUUCAGAAUGUUAGCUGAAAUAAUUUCUGAGUGAGUAAGAACAUUUUGUGCUGUGCCUUCAGCAUAUAUUACAUGCCACUUCCUGCCAACUGUCUCAGUUUAAUUCCCCAUCUUUUGAAUCUCCUUGACCCUUCUCUUCAGAAUAUUUUCAUUUUGAUAAUCCUUUCACCCACUGUUGUAGUUAACCAGGUAUUUUAAAAGGCUCUUGAAGAAUUACUGGAUAUUCACAGAGAAACUAUGCUUGCCAUUCUUGGUUAUUUAUGAAUUAAUGAUCUGCUGUGUUCUCAUAAGCUCAGAGAUCUUGUGGGGGCAUACACAGUUAUGCAGCAAAUACAUUUAUUUUUCUUGAUAUAAGAUUUUCUCCCCAUAUCCGUCACAUGCACAUCAUCUCUUUUCUGUGUUUUGCUUUUCCAAACUCCUUGAAUAUCAACUGUAUGUUACAAAGCAUCUAUAGAAGAGAGUAUAGUGCAGUGGGAGUUAAUUACUGUUAUUAACUUACUGGCUUUAUUAGUUUUGAAUGAAGCAUGUAGCUACUGUGGCUACAGUUAUUUAAGCACUCUUUAUUAGCUAAAAUAAUUUGCAAUUUUUGGACAUACACUUACCA